rnacentral:lncRNA from 1 species
CGAUUGUCACGCAAACACAAAUGCCUCAGCAAAUAUCUAGUGCGGGCAGCAUUAGACACUUGUGUGCCGGGAUCUAGUGAGCAAAGGCAAUAAAUCCGGAACACGCAGUAGUCAAAUACAAUUUUCGGAGAGAGAGUGUAGAUCUAACAUGGCAAUCAGUACGGAUGAGGCUACAGACAGAGAAGACCCGAAAUCGACAUCGCUUCCUGUGAAGGCAAAUGGAUUUUUCACACAACGAAAAAUCAAUCACUAUGCUAGGGGAAAAUAAUAAAAGAUGUAUGAAAACAGAAGAGAGAGACGGGGUGUAGUUGGAAAGGAUGAGAAAAUCCGAAAACUAGAAAAGAUAAAAACUCAGAAGGGAGAGAAUUUUUUUCUUCCCUCAAAUAGGCGUCGCGCGAUACGGCGUGCUAUAGCAGAAUUCCACAUUUACGUCAGUUCUAUUGUUACCAAAUCCUGCUUAUUCUGGAAAUUAAUAAACUGCCAAUUUUUAAUAUACUCAUAUCAUCAGCUACCAGUUUAUCUACACUAUAGCUAUAAUUAAUUUAAUUCGAUGAUUUUAAUUUAGGAAAUACGAGUAUCAGUAUUGUCGCGUCGCAACGUCCUAUUGGAGCAGAUAGAAACACUGUGAUCAAGACCUCGUUUUGGCAAG